rnacentral:rRNA from 1 species
GGUGAAGGUGGAGCUUGCUCCACCGGAUCAGUGGCGAACGGGUGAGUAACACGUGAGCAAUCUGCCCCUGACUCUGGGAUAAGCGCUGGAAACGGCGUCUAAUACCGGAUACGAACUGCGAAGGCAUCUUCAGCAGUUGGAAAGAAUUUCGGUCAGGGAUGAGCUCGCGGCCUAUCAGCUUGUUGGUGAGGUAAUGGCUCACCAAGGCGUCGACGGGUAGCCGGCCUGAGAGGGUGACCGGCCACACUGGGACUGAGACACGGCCCAGACUCCUACGGGAGGCAGCAGUGGGGAAUAUUGCACAAUGGGCGCAAGCCUGAUGCAGCAACGCCGCGUGAGGGACGACGGCCUUCGGGUUGUAAACCUCUUUUAGCAGGGAAGAAGCGAAAGUGACGGUACCUGCAGAAAAAGCGCCGGCUAACUACGUGCCAGCAGCCGCGGUAAUACGUAGGGCGCAAGCGUUAUCCGGAAUUAUUGGGCGUAAAGAGCUCGUAGGCGGUUUGUCGCGUCUGCUGUGAAAUCCCGAGGCUCAACCUCGGGUCUGCAGUGGGUACGGGCAGACUAGAGUGCGGUAGGGGAGAUUGGAAUUCCUGGUGUAGCGGUGGAAUGCGCAGAUAUCAGGAGGAACACCGAUGGCGAAGGCAGAUCUCUGGGCCGUAACUGACGCUGAGGAGCGAAAGGGUGGGGAGCAAACAGGCUUAGAUACCCUGGUAGUCCACCCCGUAAACGUUGGGAACUAGUUGUGGGGUCCAUUCCACGGAUUCCGUGACGCAGCUUACGCAUUAAGUUCCCCGCCUGGGGAGUACGGCCGCAAGGCUAAUAUCAGUUUUUUACGGGG